rnacentral:rRNA from 1 species
GUGACGAGCGGCGGACGGGUGAGUAAUGUCUGGGAAACUGCCUUAUGGAGGGGGAUAACUACUGGAAACGGUAGCUAAUACCGCAUAACGUCGCAAGACCAAAGAGGGGACCUUCGGGCCUCUUGCCAUCAGAUGUGCCCAGAUGGGAUUAGCUAGUAGGUGGGGUAACGGCUCACCUAGGCGACGAUCCCUAGCUGGUCUGAGAGGAUGACCAGCCACACUGGAACUGAGACACGGUCCAGACUCCUACGGGAGGCAGCAGUGGGGAAUAUUGCACAAUGGGCGCAAGCCUGAUGCAGCCAUGCCGCGUGUAUGAAGAAGGCCUUCGGGUUGUAAAGUACUUUCAGCGGGGAGGAAGGUGUGUGGUUAAUAACCACAGCAAUUGACGUUACCCGCAGAAGAAGCACCGGCUAACUCCGUGCCAGCAGCCGCGGUAAUACGGAGGGUGCAAGCGUUAAUCGGAAUUACUGGGCGUAAAGCGCACGCAGGCGGUCUGCCAAGUCGGAUGUGAAAUCCCCGGGCUCAACCUUGGGGAGGGAAAAAAAAAAACCCAAAAAAAAAAAAAAAAAAGAGACAAGAAGAAGGAGGAGAGAGGAAGAA